GCGUCGCAUCUUUCCUCUCGUAACGCGUAUCAGUGCCAACCAGGCAGCCAUCGCCGCGGCCCUCGUGCCUCUGCAUCGCGGCGCGCCUUGGUGCUCCAUCCACGUAAUCCCUGAGGUGCGGCACAGGCGUGGAGGUAUCUCGGCAGUCGGCAGGGCGGCUGGAGUUCGGUCCCAGAAGAGAUGGCGGGGGGCCCUGAUGUCGCGGGCUUGAUCGAGGAUGAUGCGGUCUCCGUCAUCACGGAGGGCUUAGUGGUGUGUGACAUAUGUGGCAGUGGUAGUGCCCCUCAUCUUAUUGCAAACUGCGCUCGGUGCAAUGCGCGUGAGCACGGGUACUCCCUUUCUUUUCUCCUACCUGCCUAUUACCUUUUUCCUUUGGUCUUCACAUACUGAACUCGUGGAAAAUGUACAUAUACAUACAACAUAUGUUCGUCUGUGUAGAACAUGUGGUGAUCAGUUGGUAGACAUGCUUUGUAAGGAUGUUUGGAUAGUAGUUACUAGUGAAUGGUAAGAGAAGAGAAGAAUGGUAAAGAGAAGAGAAGGUUUUGCCACAGAUAACUCAUGUAAAAACUGUAACUAAAUAAGGCCUUGGAUAUUUCCU
rnacentral:lncRNA from 7 species